rnacentral:rRNA from 1 species
AGGUAAGCUACUAAGAGCGAAUGGUGGAUGCCUUGACUGGUAAAGGCGAUGAAGGACGUACUAGACUGCGAUAAGCUACGGGGAGCUGUCAAGAAGCUUUGAUCCGUAGAUUUCCGAAUGGGGCAACCCAAUGUAUAGAGAUAUACAUUACCUAUAUAGGAGCGAACGAGGGGAAUUGAAACAUCUUAGUACCCUCAGGAAAAGAAAUCAAUAGAGAUUGCGUCAGUAGCGGCGAGCGAAAGCGCAAGAGGGCAAACCCAGUGCUUGCACUGGGGGUUGUAGGACUGCAAUGUGCAAGAGGUGAGUUUAGCAGAACAUUCUGGAAAGUAUAGCCAUAGAGGGUGAUAGUCCCGUAUGCGAAAAACAAACCUUAGCUAGCAGUAUCCUGAGUAGGGCGGGACACGAGAAAUCCUGUCUGAAGCUGGGUCGACCACGAUCCAACCCUAAAUACUAAUACCAGAUCGAUAGUGCACAAGUACCGUGAGGGAAAGGUGAAAAGAACUGAGGUGAUCAGAGUGAAAUAGAACCUGAAACCAUUUGCUUACAAUCAUUCAGAGCCCUAUGUAGCAAUACAGGGUGAUGGACUGCCUUUUGCAUAAUGAGCCUGCGAGUUGUGGUGUCUGGCAAGGUUAAGCAAACGCGAAGCCGUAGCGAAAGCGAGUCUGAAUAGGGCGCUUAGUCAGAUGCUGCAGACCCGAAACGAAGUGAUCUAUCCAUGAGCAAGUUGAAGCUAGUGUAAGAACUAGUGGAGGACUGAACCCAUAGGCGUUGAAAAGCCCCGGGAUGACUUGUGGAUAGGGGUGAAAGGCCAAUCAAACUUCGUGAUAGCUGGUUCUCUCCGAAAUAUAUUUAGGUAUAGCGUUGUGUCGUAAUAUAAGGGGGUAGAGCACUGAAUGGGCUAGGGCAUACACCAAUGUACCAAACCCUAUCAAACUCCGAAUACCUUAUAUGUAAUCACAGCAGUCAGGCGGCGAGUGAUAAAAUCCGUCGUCAAGAGGGAAACAACCCAGACUACCAGCUAAGGUCCCUAAAUCUUACUUAAGUGGAAAACGAUGUGAAGUUACUUAAACAACCAGGAGGUUGGCUUAGAAGCAGCCAUCCUUUAAAGAAAGCGUAAUAGCUCACUGGUCUAGUGAUUUUGCGCGGAAAAUAUAACGGGGCUAAAGUAAGUACCGAAGCUGUAGACUUGCGCACAACUUAGAUUAUUUAAGUUUAGAAUAUGAGAAACUAAGUUAUAUGUUUAGUUAUAUUUUUACUGAUUUUUAUAGAGUAAAGAUAGAAAUAAAACUUAGUAAAAUCAGUAAAAAUAUUCUUAGACUAAAGUUAAGUAGUUUAAGUUGUGUGCAAGUGGUAGGAGAGCGUUCUAUUUGCGUCGAAGGUAUACCGGUAAGGAGUGCUGGAGCGAAUAGAAGUGAGCAUGCAGGCAUGAGUAGCGAUAAUUAAUGUGAGAAUCAUUAACGCCGUAAACCCAAGGUUUCCUACGCGAUGCUCGUCAUCGUAGGGUUAGUCGGGUCCUAAGUCGAGUCCGAAAGGGGUAGACGAUGGCAAAUUGGUUAAUAUUCCAAUACCAACAUUAGUGUGCGAUGGAAGGACGCUUAGGGCUAAGGGGGCUAGCGGAUGGAAGUGCUAGUCUAAGGUCGUAGGAGGUUAUACAGGCAAAUCCGUAUAACAAUACUCCGAGAACUGAAAGGCUUUUUGAAGUCUUCGGAUGGAUAGAAGAACCCCUGAUGCCAUCGAGCCAAGAAAAGUUUCUAAGUUUAGCUAAUGUUGCCCGUACCGUAAACCGACACAGGUGGGUGGGAUGAGUAUUCUAAGGCGCGUGGAAGAACUCUCUUUAAGGAACUCUGCAAAAUAGCACCGUAUCUUCGGUAUAAGGUGUGGUUCGCUUCGUAUUAGGAUUUACUCCGAAAGCGAAGAAACUUACAACAAAGAGUCCCUCCCGACUGUUUACCAAAAACACAGCACUCUGCUAACUCGUAAGAGGAUGUAUAGGGUGUGACGCCUGCCCGGUGCUCGAAGGUUAAUUGAUGGGGUUAGCAUUAGCGAAGCUCUUGAUCGAAGCCCGAGUAAACGGCGGCCGUAACUAUAACGGUCCUAAGGUAGCGAAAUUCCUUGUCGGUUAAAUACCGACCUGCAUGAAUGGCGUAACGAGAUGGGAGCUGUCUCAAAGAGGGAUCCAGUGAAAUUGUAGUGGAGGUGAAAAUUC